GGAGGCGUGGCCGAGUGGUCGAAGGCGGCAGUCUUGAAAACUGUUGAGCCGAGAGGUUCCGUGGGUUCGAAUCCUACCGCCUCCGCCA
rnacentral:tRNA from 1 species